rnacentral:tRNA from 1 species
UUGGAGUUUUGAUCUCUAGGGGGUAGGUUCGAGUCCUAUUUUUUUAGGAG